rnacentral:tRNA from 1 species
ACCUAAAAAGCUUCAAUUAGUAUUAAUUUGUGGGGUUAAAGAAAAUUAGGUAUUUAUCUUGUUUUAAGUA